rnacentral:rRNA from 1 species
UGGGGGAUAUUGCACAAUGGGCGAAAGCCUGAUGCAGCGACGCCGCGUGGGGGAUGAAGGCCUUCGGGUUGUAAACUUCUUUUGCUCUGAACAAGGCAUGCUGAUGGGUGUGUUGAGUGUAGGGGUUGAUUAGCGCCGGCUAACUACGUGCCAGCAGCCGCGGUAAUACGUAGGGCGCGAGCGUUGUCCGGAAUUAUUGGGCGUAAGGGCUUGUAGGUGGCUGGUUGCGUCUGUCGUGAAAGCUCAUGGCUUAACUGUGGGUUUGCGGUGGGUACGGGCUGGCUUGAGUGCAGUAGGGGAGGCUGGAAUUCCUGGUGUAGCGGUGGAAUGCGCAGAUAUCAGGAGGAAUACCGGUGGCGAAGGCGGGUCUCUGGGCUGUUACUGACACUGAGGAGCGAAAGCAUGGGGAGCGAACAGG